UUAACUUACCAUUUGCUAAAUCAUAACCUCUGGGUUGAUUAACCCAAACAGGCAUACCAUGAGUAUGUCGGUUCCAAAACACCUGAGAAGAGUUAGUUUAAUCAACCUCCAACUGGUUACCCAGAGGUAAUGCGCGUGCACGGUGCAUGUAUAAAGACAUUUUCAAUGGAUCGCCGAUUUCACGAGUCACCAUGGAAACUCAAAGCGAAAAAAAGAGAGCAGCGUAUUUCACAGAGGCGGAGUUGGAGGUUUUAAUGCUUAUGAGGAGUUUAAGCCAAUAAUAUUAAAAAGAAGCAAUACAGCUGCAUCGCUAAAGCAAGAGAGUUGACUUGGCAAAAAAUACCGGACAGAGUAAAUGCAUGAGUGUAUUAAAUUACAAAUUUGAAAUUGGCUCCCGUUUUAUUAUAAUGCAAAAUAAUGAAGUAUGACUUAUACAUCCUUUUGAAUAUGUUAUAUCACUAUGAAAGCAUUUACUUUUCCUGCCAUUUAUUUUUUUAGUUUAAAAUAAUAAUGUAUAUUUCUUAUUUAAUAAGCUGUAAUCCUUCUGGAGCCACAAGAACUUUAAGCCAAGUCAAAAUGAAACACAAAAACAUUCUGCAAAAAAGUCAUAUUUCAUUACACAAUUACUGAACUAUUAUUAUAACAGGAUUUAGAAUAUUAAUUCUGUCAUGUAGCUAAUAAAAAGAAGACUGAAGCCCGUCUAACUGGCGUGGGCACACCACCACCUCCCCUCACCCCAUCUGAGGAGCUGGCUCUGUCCCUUAAUAAAGGGUGACCAGUGGUUGCUGGCAUUCCAGGGGGCAGUUCAUCACACACACCAUGCAUCACAAGUGAUGGUGAAAAAAUGGUGAAAUAUACUGAUGGACGUAUUGUAUUAUUGGACCCUCCAGAAAGAACUCAGUCUGUCACAGUUGUAAUUGAUUUGUUGAGCUGUAUAAGGUCCAUCUCCAAAAACAAAUAAGAAAAAGUGACAUGGAGAGGGACCUUAUACAGUUUCAAAUGGAAGAGAAAAGGUUUCUCAUUAAAAAAGCAGCACUUGAAAUUGAAUUACUGGAGCAUCGCCUUAAGGUGAGAACUUGUCUGAAUAUUAAUCUGUUGCAUGUUAAAAGUGGUAUGUGUGUGUGUGUGUGUGUGUGUGUGUGUGUGUGUGUGUGUGUGUGUGUGUGUGUAUGUGUAAAGCAAUAUAAAUAAUUAUUUUAUUGAAUUUUACAGGAAAUAAAGAAAUACACUGCCUGGCAGACCAGUGCAAAAAAAUUAAUAAGUGAUUUUGACAGAUCCUGUCUCUCAAAAGUCUUCCGUCUCUGUUGGCCUCUAAAAUCUGUAGGUGUUCCUCUGGGCCAUCUUCCUCAAUACAAGGAGGGUGGCUCUCUCCUCUUAUAGUGGCAAUAUUGUGAAGCACAACACAAGCUACUAUAAUGUUGCAUGCCCUCUCUGGACUAACCCGGAGCCCACGCAGACUCUGAAACCAAGAUUUGAGGAUCCCUAUAGUCAUCUCCACCUUGGCCCGUGUUCGGCUGUGAGCCAGGUUAAACCGUGUCUGUGGUCCAGGCUCAGGUUCAGAGUAGGGUGUCAUUAAAUAGGGCAGACAAGGGUAUCCUCUGUCCCCCAGCAAGUAACCAUUGUACUGUCCUGUAAUGAUUGAAAUGUACAACACAAAUAUAGUAAAAAGGAAAAAAAAUAAAAAUUGUAUAAAGCAAAA